rnacentral:rRNA from 1 species
AAAACUUUCAACAACGGAUCUCUUGGUUCUGGCAUCGAUGAAGAACGCAGCGAAAUGCGAUAAGUAAUGUGAAUUGCAGAAUUCAGUGAAUCAUCGAAUCUUUGAACGCACAUUGCGCCCUCUGGUAUUCCGGAGGGCAUGCCUGUUCGAGCGUCAUUGCACCCCUCCAGCCUCGCUGGGUGUUGAGCGCGGCGGUUUGUCCGCCCGCUCCAAUGUCGCCGGCUGCAGCUAUCCGUCUCUCAGCGUUGUGAUACACCUCUCGCUCUGGGCACUGGGCAGCGUACGCUUUUAUCCUUUCUUCUCAGGUUGACCUCGGAUCAGGUGGG